UACGUAGGGGGCAAGCGUUGUCCGGAAUCAUUGGGCGUAAAGCGCGUGUAGGCGGCCAGGUAAGUCCGUUCUGAAAGCCCGGGGGCUCAACCCCGGGAGGCGGAUGGAUACUGCUUGGCUCGAGUCCGGAAGAGGCGAGUGGAAUUCCCGGUGUAGCGGUGAAAUUCGUAGAUAUUGGGAAGAACACCGGUGGCGAAAGCGGCUACCUGGCCCAUUCUUGACGGCUGAGGCGCCGAAAGCUAGGGGAGCAAACGGG
rnacentral:rRNA from 1 species